UACGGAGGAUCCGAGCGUUAUCCGGAUUUAUUGGGUUAAAAGGGUGCGUAGGCGGUUCUUUAAGUCAGGGGUGAAAGACGGCAGCUUAACUGUCGCAGUGCCUUUGAUACUGAAGAACUUGAAUACGGUUGAGGUAUGCGGAAUGAGACAAGUAGCGGUGAAAUGCAUAGAUAUGUCUCAGAACACCGAUUGCGAAGGCAGCAUUCCAAGCCGUUAUUGACGCUGAUGCACGAAAGCGUGGGGAUCGAACAGG
rnacentral:rRNA from 1 species